ensembl:lncRNA
UUUCCAGCUCCUGGAUACUUCUCCUGCUCCCACGUGACCUGUCGAAAGGGCCUCCUUCGGCGAUACUUCCAACUUUGGAGUGGAUUGAGUAACUGAAGCUUGUGAUACUGUACAUGCUUGAGUAAUUAUUGGAGCGUAAAGUCAGUGCUUAAGCAAACAAUGCUGGUGUCACAUUUUCCUGUCUGGAGGGCAGUUCAGACCAGUACUGACUGGAGACGAUGGACUGACUCCAGAUCAUAUAUCAGCCGCUGACAAUAGACACUGAAGGUGGAAAUGCAGCUAUUGAGGAUCUAAGGGGUUGCGCAGAAACAGAUGAAGCAGGAAGGAGUUGAAGGAGGGACUAGUUCUGUGGAAACAGGUGACUCAGUAAUUCCUCCAAUGGUAGUUCUGAAGCAGACACGGCAGCAAGCUCUGGCUCCUGGAUGGACAUGGCGGCAAGCUCUAGUCUAGCAAGUCCCAUAAUUCAGUGGACUCUGGCUCCAGGAUUGACAAUUCACAGAAAUUUGGCUUUGACUUGCAAUCUGUAACAGGCAUUUGAGCAGUCUCUGAGUCUGUGGUGGCUGGAGACAUCCUAGACCUCCCCUGUGCCAGCAAGACCUCAAAGUUGCAACAAGUCAUGUUGCAACUUUCCACCACUCUCCUGACUGCCACUGAGUCAGAAUAACAUUUUUGGUGUUCCUCUUCAACCUGGAAAAACCCAAUUCCACUGAACUGUUGAACCAUCAAGACUUUCAUCUGAGACUGCAUCCAGAAGCUCAUUGAACAGCCAAGGCAAUGCAAGUAUCAUACAUUUAAAUAAACUAAACAGCAGCAUAGUACUAAGCACUUGUCACAGACCCCUUUGUCCCAGAGGAGGUUAACUGGCUCCUUUUCUAUAGCUUCAUUCCCUAAUUUCUAUAAUGGCUUCAUUCAUUCAUUUUUACUUUUACAUUUUUACUACUUUUUUACAUUUGUAUAUACAGUAUGUAUGAGUGUGUGUAUAUGUUUGUUUAGACUAAUUAUUUAAUUGUGUUUUAG